UACGUAGGGUGCGAGCGUUAAUCGGAAUUACUGGGCGUAAAGCGUGCGCAGGCGGUUUUGUAAGCCAGAUGUGAAAUCCCCGGGCUUAACCUGGGAAUGGCAUUUGGGACUGCAAGGCUGGAGUUUGGCAGAGGAGACUGGAAUUCCCGGUGUAGCAGUGAAAUGCGUAGAUAUCGGGAGGAAUACCGAUGGCGAAGGCAGGUCUCUGGGCUAUAACUGACGCUAAGGCGCGAAAGCGUGGGGAGCGAACAGG
rnacentral:rRNA from 1 species